GGGGGCACCCUGAUCCAGCCAUGCCGCGUGUGUGAAGAAGGCCUUUUGGUUGUAAAGCACUUUAAGCAGUGAAGAAGACCUAACGGUUAAUACCCGUUAGCGAUGACAUUAGCUGCAGAAUAAGCACCGGCUAACUCUGUGCCAGCAGCCGCGGUAAUACA
rnacentral:rRNA from 1 species